rnacentral:rRNA from 1 species
UACGUAGGGUGCAAGCGUUGUCCGGAAUUAUUGGGCGUAAAGAGCUCGUAGGCGGUCUGUCGCGUCUGCUGUGAAAUCUCAAGGCUCAACCUUGAGCUUGCAGUGGGUACGGGCAGACUAGAGUGUGGUAGGGGAGACUGGAAUUCCGGGUGUAGCGGUGGAAUGCGUAGAGAUCCGGAAGAACACCGGUGGCGAAGGCGGCCUGCUGGGCUAUGGCUGACACUGAGGCGCGACAGCGUGGGGAGCAAACAGG